CGUUCCCGGGUCUUGUACACACCGCCCGUCACACCAUGGGAGUGGGUUUUACCAGAAGUAGUUAGCCUAACCGCAAGGGGGGCGAUUACCACGGUAGGAUUCAUGACUGGGGUG
rnacentral:rRNA from 1 species